AGCUAAUUGGCACUACUUAUCAAAACAGCCUUUUAUGCGCAUAUCUUCUGCUGGGUUCCUUUCCCUUUAUAGCUUUUGUAAGUUUUCUGUUUUUGUUUUUUUUUAAUCAGUAUGCUUGACAUGGCUUUCAAAAGGUAGAAGAACAAAUAAGAAAUAUGAAAAGAUGAUAUUCUCAUAAGAUUGAGCUGCAUCAAAAGAAGGGUAGCCAGCAGGGUGAGGAUAGAUAUCAGAUUAUUACGACAGGAUGCAUCAAAUUUAUUUCAUACAAGACCACUUUGACUUGAAGAAUCAAUAUGACAGAUGGAUGCAAAGAGCUGGAGCUGUGUGUCGGGGAGAGUGCAGGGACUGAGAAGAGGACAACAGUUAAGGUGUGUGGUUGCUCAUCUAACAUGCUCAAGAACAUGGACAUCACUGCCUGUGCCCCUGUGCUGCUGACCUUCUGA
rnacentral:lncRNA from 1 species